UACAGAGGGGGCAAGCGUUGUUCGGAAUUACUGGGCGUAAAGGGCGCGUAGGCGGCCUGCUAAGUCGAACGUGAAAUCCCUGGGCUCAACCCAGGAACUGCGUCCGAUACUGGUUGGCUUGAAUCCGGGAGAGGGAUGUGGAAUUCCAGGUGUAGCGGUGAAAUGCGUAGAUAUCUGGAGGAACACCGGUGGCGAAGGCGGCAUCCUGGACCGGCAUUGACGCUGAGGCGCGAAAGCGUGGGGAGCGAACAGG
rnacentral:rRNA from 1 species